UACUGUAUUGCAGAUAACCCAAUCUGCCACUUCUAUUGCUUUGUUGUUCGCUAAGAAAACUUGAAAUAGAAAUUUCUCGGUCUCUUUGUCACCAAUACAUGCCCAAACCAAUUUUUCUGUUCUGGUUAUGGGUACUGAUUCUGCUAACUUGAUGUCCUCGCUUUUCAAAAACUUGUUGGAUGGACUCAUCAACUCUGAUCAAGAUACAGUUGAAACCCUUCUUACCAUCAGAAUCUAUUAGUUUUUGUUCAAUCAAGUUUGGGAUGCUAAAUAGCAUAGCCAACAAUGCAGCCGCAGCUGGCCAGAAGGCGACUCGUGGGAUUUUCAUCUUCGCAGCAACUUCUAAAGCCCAUCCAAGGUUCUCAUCAGCAAUAACACCAGUUUCAGGCCAUCUGGAAGUGAGACUAAAUGAACACGACCAUCCCCUAUCUGAUUUGUUUCUGCUAGAGCACUCACUACACGUUUGUGAUUGUACUCUGUGUUUACAAACGUGAUUUUGAAACCAUGUCUGGCUAAGCACAACGAUAAUUCCAACAAGGGAAUCACAUGGCCUUGUGCUGGAUAAGCUGAUGCUGGAGAGAAGCCAACUCGUCGGAUUCUCGUCGUCACAGCAACUUCCAGAGCCCACCCAAGACUCUCAUCAGCAAUAACACUGGUUCCAUGUCAUCUGUGAUUGAAACUAGGUGAAUAUUAGCAUCUCCUAUAUGAUUUGUUUCUGCUAGAGCAUCCAUUCCAUGUUUUUGACUGUGCUCUGUGUUCAUGAUGGUGAUUUCAAAUCCUUGUUUGGCUAAGCACGGCGAGAAUUCUAGCAGGGGGAUCACAUGGCCUUGUGCUGGAUAAGGGAAGGAGGAUGGAAGGAGCGAGAUGCCAAAAGCGAGAGCGAACAUGAAAAUCCUAACCAAGUUGAUGACAAAUGCGUUCAUUCUAAACUAAAAAUGUAUCAACGUCAAUCCUCAAGGUCCACACAAGCAUUUUGGCCAUAAAAGUUUCAAAAUAUGUGAGUGUGUAUAGAUAACAGGAAAACUUGUUGGAUGCACUCAUCAACUCCGAUCAAGAAACAGUUGAAACCCUUCUUACCAUCAGAAUCAAUUAUUUUUUGUUCAAUCAAGUUUGGGAUGCUAAAUUGCAUAGCCAACAAUGCAGCAGCAGCUGGCCAGAAGGCGACUCGUGGGAUUUUCAUCUUCGCAGCAACUUCUAAAGCCCAUCCAAGGUUCUCAUCAGCAAUAACACCAGUUCCAGGCCAUCAGGAAGUGAGACUAGAUGAACACGACCAUCCCCUAUAUGAUUCGUUUCUGCUAAAGCACUUACUACACGUUUGUGAUUGUACUCUGUGUUUACAAACGUGAUUUUGAAACCAUAUUUGGCUAAGCACAACGAUAAUUCCAACAAGGGAAUCACAUGGCCUUGUGCUGGAUAAGGCAGGCUUAGAGGUCCCAGGGGCAUGGAGAGUUUCUUCACUACUGAUUUCUAACUCCAAAUGAGUGAUUUUUUCUCUAUAGAUUAUACCAAUCUUUCCAAGAGAAAAUUCCAAUUUGGAACUUUUUAAAUUUUAAACUAAGGUGGAAUUAGCAAUAUGUUGCAAGUGGAAGCAAUCUGAUGUUGAUUUGUUUAGUUCUAUGCUACCUGUUUCUUAUGCUUUAUCUUUUUCUUUCUUUGUUUGUUCUCUAUUUUAUUUUAUUUUUGGAAUGGUUUCUCUUA